AGAAAAAGAGGGAGGUGGGGGAGGGAGCCGCCAGCUGCCACGGUGUCCUUCUGAGCCCGGCGGUCAUUAGCUGCCUGCCGGCACAGCUGGCUCCGCCGGGCGCUGGUUGCGGCGGCACCGGCUCCCCCGGCCCCCCCCCCCGCCGCCUCCGGGUACGGGGGGGCUGCCUGCAGGCCGUGGGGGGCACGGGGCUAGGUUUAAAAAAAAAAAAUACUUAAGCAAUUUCACAGCCUGUGAUCCCGGCGCCUGCAGCUGUACUAACGACGGAGUAUUCAUCCCAGCCUCUCGGGGAGGAUUCCCCGCCACCGCCGCCGGGGGCUGCUCAGGGAGGUCUGGGGACACACACACCGAGACGGGGACAGCCCCUCUGCGGGCGCCGCGGGGCAGGGGCUUCGCCGAGAGACAGCCCGGGAGCGCUCGGGAGGGCACGUCGCUGUACCUGCCGAACUAGACCUCAGCGGGGAAAGAUGGCUUUCUGCUUGAGGCUAGGAAAGUUUAGGAGGGGGCUAAAGGACACGGCGUCCGUUUUAUUUCCCACCGCCCUCUUUUUCCCCCAGAGAGGUGAAGGGUAUUUUAAUUCGUGGCAACGAGGAAGGUAUAUUAUGGCAGCCUGCGCGAACUAAAGCAAAACAUAAGCAUAACUUAAAAAGCCCUCAGUUUAUGAACACUGCCUCUUUGUUUUCCAGAUGCUCUACCUGAAUAGUUGGGAUUUCCAGCAUCUUUUCUGAUGUAGGGCUAUCAGAAACGCUCACUCUUGAGGCACUCGUGGGGCUACGUCUAGUUUCCAGACUCCGCCCAACCUACCGAGUGCAAAAACUUCAUCUUCUCCCAACGUCGUGCACUGAAAGCGGGCUUUAUGUAAACAAAUCCAGAUGAAGGGAGCGUAAAUCUAAAGAAGGAACCUCACCCCCGGCUGCACUGGGAACUGGCGGGCGUCUUUCCGUCGGGGGAAAAAAAAAAAGAAAAAAAAAAAAAGACCCCAAGCUCGCAGGAGCCACCUCUGUGUUUCCACGUCAGGGAAAAACCCAGACUCUCGCUGCCUUCAGAGGUCUAGUGGCAAUACAAAGGCUGCCCCGGAAAGCUCUAGGCUAAGCGUCGUCUUGUGGAGGGAUGCGAAGGAUUUGCUUACAGCAAAAGAAAAAAACCCUCUCCCGUUUCCAGAAAGGAAAACCUAGCUGCAUGUCCCCGGUAACAACUACUGAAUAAAACUAGUUUUGCCAGCCAUGUGUUCGAAAGCCACGCAUCUGGUAAGGAAUAAAAUGUUAGCGUUCA